rnacentral:lncRNA from 1 species
GGCCACGCUCGCCCGGCCCGCGACGCCCCCCCGCUGUCGCCUGGCCCGCGACGCACCGAGGCCUGAGGACCCGAAAGCCGGGCGCGGGGAGAUGACCGGUGGCUCGUGACGGUCCCACGGGCAAAAUCUUCCAUCGCCCGGGGCUGAGACUUGUCAAACUGCCCUCUACGGUCACCCGGAAAGUAGGAGGCUUUUUCUGCAGAGGGGAAAAAAAUCAAAAAGAGCCGUUCCAUCCCCCCUCCAAGGACUGGGUUUGAAUUGCUUUUCAUCUGCAGUGGCUGUGAUUCAGCGUCCCUCUUAGCAGCAGGCAAUGACAGAGGCAGGAGAGGGGAAAAAAAAAAAGAAAGAAAGAAAAAACACAGCAAAUGAAUCAAACGGACCAGGUAGCAGGCAAGAGUGUGGUUAUCGUUGGACCAGGAUUCAGGAUCUGACUGAGUAGCUGACUCUUAAUCCAGUUUGUGUUGAUCACCAGGAGGAUCUGGACCUCAGUAUUACCACAUCUAGAGCUAUAAUCACAUCCCUGUUAAGCCUUCCUGAGAUCACACCAAAUGUCCUUGAUGGGAAUUGUAAACAACCCUUACUUCUGGUUUCUAAUGAUAUUCCAGGAAAGGAGCCUAACUAGAGUCAGUGAUAUGCCAACUCCACCUUUGCCUUCCACCAUGUUUGGAAGCUCCCUGAGGCCUCACCAGGAGCAGAUGCUCGUCCCAUGCUUCCUAUAAGCCUGCAGAACUGGAAAAGAAAGCUGGAUAAAGUAUUUAUAGAAGAUAGAGGACCUGUGGUGGCUCAUGCCUGUAAUCCAAGGUGGAAGGAUUGCUUGAGGCCAGAAGUUCAAGACCAGUCCAAGCAACAUAGCAAGGCCCCAUCUCUACAAAAAAUGAAAAUAAAAUUAGCCGAGCGUGAUGGCUCAUGCCUGUAGUUCUAGCUUCUAGAGAGGCUGAGGCAGGAGGAUUGCUUGAGUCCAGGAGUUCAAGAUUACAGUGAGCUAUGGUCACACCACUGCACUCCAGCCUGGGUGAUGGAGUGAGACUGUCUCAAUAAAAAGACAAAAAGGUCAAGGAAGCUUUUCCUGAUCCACUAACUAAGGACAAUCAAACCCUUCAUGAUCUAGAAUCUGGAGACUGUGUCUUCUGGGAAUAGUAUCAGAGAAAGACUGCCCUUACUGCCCACAUGUAGCAAAACUUUGAGACGUUGAAUUAUGGGUCCAUAAUCUCACAACUCAGAGGGGCACCUCUAGACUCUUGGAACUGUAUAUCUAUUGGAGACUUUAAGGUAAAGCUGAACAGAGAGACGUUUUUCUCCAGAAGCAGACAGCACCAUAGUCAUGGACAGCUUUCCCAAGAUCACAGAUCAAGACUUCUCUGCCGUCAUGAGACUCAUAACCUCUUAAUUUUUUCUUGCUUAUGCUUCUGUGAACAAUAGAAUUGGAAAAGGGGUGGUCCCGCGUGCACCCAUAGGGUAUACUUUUAUUUGUGGAGGAUUUUGCUGCCAACCUUAUACAUGGGCAAACUUAUGCCUUCAUGGAUGGAAGAUAAAGGGCUAAUAUGGGUUAGAAAUUUUAAUGGUACCUUUGUUUCUCCAUAAUCAUUCAGAAACAGAACACUGGUCCACUCUUGUUAACCUACAUCAUAGGUUGAAGAGAACAUUGCCAGGAGGCCUUCAUCCUUCCAGAUGGGCACCAUUUGUUGGGUCUUUUUCCGUGGUAUGAAGAAAAUGAAGCAAUGAUUAGAAAUUGGUCCCUCGGCCGGGCACAAUGGCUCAUGCCUGUAAUCCCAUCACUUUGGCAGGCCGAGGCGGGUGGAUCACCUGAGGUCAGGAGUUUGAGACCAGCCUGACCAAUGUGGUGAAACGCCAUCUCUACUAAAAAUACAAAAAUUAGCUGGGUGUGAUGGUGCACACCUGUAAUCCAGCUACUCGGGAGGCUGAGACAGGAGAAUUGCUUGAACCUGGGAGGCAGAGGUUGCAGUGAGCCAAGAUCACCCCACUGCAUUCCAGGUUGGGCAACAGAGCAAGACUCUGUCUCAAAAAAAAAAGAAGAAAGAAAGAAAUUGAUCCCUCAUAAUAGGCUGUAUAGCAGAUUCUACUGCAAAGGCUAUGGUUGCACAACAGACUUCUUUGAAUUUGCUUGCUAAACUUUUACUGGAUAAUACUGGGAUUACAGGUGUGAGCCACUGUGCCCAGCCUCUCCUGUUUAACUGUAUUCAUUCUAAUGUUUACUUACUUCUUUAAUUUGUAAAAUUGGGUCACUUAGAGUUUUUUUAGCCUAUCUUGCCAUUUAGCCACUGUUACUGAUAAUUUGGAUGGAAAAGAAAAAUAAAUUAUAUCACCUCUCAUCUUCAGUGUAUAUAUGUGUUAACUUAGUAAAUAUAGUAUUCUUUCUCGUUCCUAAUGAAAAUUUAGUUUACGUACUGAAACACUGCAAACUUUUAUAAAUAUUGUGAUGUAUUUGACCAAUACAAAGGAUCUUUUUAGAAACAGCAAACAGUUCUCAGAUUAUAGGAAUUACUCAUUUAAUGAUAGUUUCUUCUUAAAAAAAAAAAAGAAAAAUGUUUAGUUACCGAAUCAUAAACAACCCCUUAAAAGACACUCAGAUAAUCUCAUGGGUCAGGAAGAUGAUGAUCAGUAUAUUUGGUUAAUAAAAUAUAGCAUAGAAAGCAUAAACCAUAAAUGGAAAAUAUAACAGAUUGUACCAAAGAGAAUACAUUGAAAUACAUUAAGAAAUCGGAUUUAAACUAUGAUUGGAUCCUUCUUUAGGUGGAAGUUAUUUGAGAGAAUAAUUCCAUGAAAAUUAAAAAUUCAUGAUUCUUUCAUUGUAGGCUAGAAAAAUGGAUUUAGUCAGCUGAGAUUAAGUAUGGGGGACUCUACAAGAACCUAUGCUAGGAUAAGAAUAUUGGAGGAAAAACAGUGGAUGAGGUACCAGAUGUUAUGGCAUUCCAUCUUUGUAAAUACAUGCAAUAAAAUCUGGUCUAUCUAGCUUUCUUUCAACCUAAAUGCCACUCACCAAUCUCACUACAUUUCUGCAGUACUGUAAUUGAGGUUUAUAAUGAUG